AUUGAACGCUGGCGGCAUGCCUUACACAUGCAAGUCGAACGGUAACGGGUCCUUCGGGAUGCCGACGAGUGGCGAACGGGUGAGUAAUAUAUCGGAACGUGCCCAGUAGUGGGGGAUAACUGCUCGAAAGAGCAGCUAAUACCGCACACGACCUGAGGGUGAAAGGGGGGGAUCGCAAGACCUCUCGCUAUUGGAGCGGCCGAUAUCAGAUUAGCUAGUUGGUGGGGUAAAGGCCUACCAAGGCAACGAUCUGUAGUUGGUCUGAGAGGACGACCAGCCACACUGGGACUGAGACACGGCCCAGACUCCUACGGGAGGCAGCAGUGGGGAAUUUUUGACAAUGGGCGCAAGCCUGAUCCAGCAAUGCCGCGUGCAGGAUGAAGGCCUUCGGGUUGUAAACUGCUUUUGUACGGAACGAAAAGCCCCGGGUUAAUACCCUGGGGUCAUGACGGUACCGUAAGAAUAAGCACCGGCUAACUACGUGCCAGCCGCCGCCGUAA
rnacentral:rRNA from 1 species